GAACUGAAGAGUUUGAUCAUGGCUCAGAUUGAACGCUGGCGGCAGGCCUAACACAUGCAAGUCGAGCGGAUGACGGGAGCUUGCUCCUUGAUUCAGCGGCGGACGGGUGAGUAAUGCCUAGGAAUCUGCCUGGUAGUGGGGGACAACGUUUCGAAAGGAACGCUAAUACCGCAUACGUCCUACGGGA
rnacentral:rRNA from 1 species